AAGACACUUGCUGUGAAAACGGAAAUGGAUGUUGAAUUCUGAAGAAAAGCUUAUUUUAGUGAUCUUUGCAGAAUGUUGUCCACUAAGCUAAUGAUGGGGAUUGUAGCACUACCCUGCACACAGACAUGGAAUUGAUCUGCCUAGUCCAUUAUCAGAAGAGUGACCAGGACUGUUCCUCCCAUCAGAGAAGUUUCUUGAGAAGCAUUACAAGGGACUUGUCUGAAUGGGCAGAAGAAAUGUUUUAACUGACUAUCCCAUCAUUGUCAGCUGUUGGAGACUGAACAAUUUACUGAAAUCAGUGCUGGGGUGUAGCAGUCAGUGGGUGUCCUCAUUUGCCCCAAGAAGAGUCAGAGAAGUAUUCAUUUUUACUGUAAAAAGUUUAGUUCAUGUAAAGAGCAUGAAGGCAGAUUUUACAGUUAUCUCCCUUAGACUAUGUAAAUUAUAAUACAGCACUUGCUAAUGAUGUUAUUUUACAUAUUAAAUGUUGUGUGAAUGUUUUCAAUUUGGUUGGUAGUCAAAGACAUGAGUUAUAGCUGCCUGUAUUGUACCAGUUUACCUACAGAAUUGAACAUAGAUUACAUGCACCUGACUCUCCAGGACAUGUUAUAUACCUGUCUGUCUUUAGAUGGGACGUAUUAUGGUACAGCAAUGUCUGCAUGUCUAUCUUUAGAUGAGAUGUAUUAUGGUACGGUAAUGUCUGUAUGUCUGUCUUUAGAUGGGAUGUAUUAUGGUACGGUAAUGUCUGUAUGUCCGUCUGUAGAUGGGACAUAUUGUGAUACAGUAAUGUAUGUCUGUCUGUCUGUAGAUGGGACGUAUUAUGGUACAGCAAUGUCUGUAUGUCUGUCUGUAGAUGAGACAUACCAUAGUACAACAAUAUAUCUAUGUCUGUCUGUACUCUGUAGAUGGGAAGUAUUAUGAUACAGCAAUGUCUGUAUGUCUGUCUGUAGAUGGGACGUAUUAUGGUACAACAAUAUCUUUAUGUCUGUCUGUAGAUGGGACGUAUUAUGAUACAACAAUGUCUGUAUGUCUGUCUGUAGAUGGGAUGUAUUAUGGUACAAAAUGUCUGUCUGUAGAUGGGCAGUGUUAUGGUACAACAAUGUCUGUAUGUCUGUCUGUAGAUGGGCAGUGUUAUGGUACAACAAUGUCUGUAUGUCUCUCUGUAGAUGGGACGUAUUAUGGUACAACAAUGUCUGUAUGUCUGUCUGUAGAUGGGAUGUAUUAUGGUACGGUAAUGUCUGUAUGUUCGUCUGUAGAUGGGACAUAUUGUGAUACAGCAAUGUCUGUAUGUCUGUCUGUAGAUGGGACGUAUUAUGGUACAACAAUAUAUGUAUGUCUGUCUGUAGAUGGGCAGUGUUAUGGUACAGAAAUGCCUGUACAUCCGUCUGUAGAUAGAUUGUAUUAUGGUACAGCAAUAUCUCCAUAUACGUCUGUAGAUGGGGUGUAUUAUGGAACAAUGUCUGUAGGUGGGACGUAUUAUGGUAUAUUAAUGUAUGUCUGUCUGUAGACGGUACAUCAAUGUCUGUAAGUCCGUUUGUCGGUGGGACGUAUCACUGUACAGUAAUGUAUGUCUGUCUGUCUGUCUUAAGAUGGUAUGCAUUGUCCAUCAUCAGUGGCCUCGUGGCUAGCCUGUCAGACUCUUGACCAAAAGGUCGUGGGUUCGAAUCCUGGCCGCGGCAGAGCCGACGUUGUGUCCCUGGGAAAGGCAAUUUACAUGAAUUUCCUCACUCCACCCAAGUGUAAAAGGGGUACCUGGCUAUAGACAGUGAAAGAUAUUGUUAGAAUGUUAGUGCUUUAGCGCCUGUAACAACAGCUUGCACUGUAUGCUUCACAGGAAGCUGAGAAAGUUCUAGGUUGAUAUAAGAUCUGCCGGGGUGAUAAUGUAUUGUGAAGCGGUUUUAGCAGCUGGAAAAAGCGCUAUGUUAUGUAAUUUGAGUGUGUGAGUUUUGAGUGCUAGUGAGCAUGUAGAGUGUGAAUGGUUUUGUUUGUGUCCUUUCUGUGUGAAUGAAGUUAUUUCUUGUUUGUGUUUCUUUUCCAUAUGUCAAUGUUCAGUUUGAAAACGAGGAGUUUUUCCUAUCUCGAGUCAAAAUUAUGACAACCGAUAAGACCAGUGAGUCUCUUGUUUAGAUUGAUUGAUUGUAUCUUGCUUAACGUCUCGCUCGAGAAUUGUUCACUCAUAUGGAGACGUCACCAAGACUGAUAAAGGGCUUCAAAUUUAGGACUAUGCUCGGUGCCAAUGGCCAUUGAGCAGUGAGGGUUCUUUAGCGUGCCACACCUACUGUGACACGAUACAUCUGUUUUUAAGGUAAUCUCCGAGGACCUGUGACAUCCACACCUGAUGGUUUGGCGAUGGAACUGUCACUACCUAUUUUAAUGACUUAGGUCUGUCACAGUCGGGAUUCGAACCCCGGCCCUUCGCAUGCUGGGCGAACGCUCUUAACUUCUCGGCCACCGCGACAAAAUUCUUGGGGAUUUUAAUUUGCUGAAACUUUCAUUUACAUGUACUAGUACCUGUCUGAUUUCUGGCCAUUCCAGCACUCAUUCUCAGUUUGGUUUUUCAGCUCCCUGGGCCUCAUGAGAUUGUGACACCGUGCAGUAGGAGCAGUUUCUACUGGUAUCUCUUAAAAGCAGACAGAGAUUUUCUUAUCAUCUGAUCCAUUUCUGGAGACAAACUUUUGUAUGGAGCUGGGUAGCAGUUACUUGAGAUGUCCGGCUGAUGGAUGAAGAUAGUUUCCCUGAGACUCUAACAUUUUGUAGAACUUGGAUAGCUCUAUUCAGUAUUGCUGUAGAAAAUGUCAGGACGGUGGAGAUUUAGAUAAGUGGUGUGAUGUUAUUGAUGGUAAACAGAAGACUGUGACCUUGAAUCUGAAGAUCUGUGAUGAAGACUGGACGUUUGGGGUCACUCUCUGUUACAGUACUACAAAUCUAACAGUGUGAUACUCAGCCACAAAGAGGUUGUCUCUGAUGUCCACACAUAAACCCCAUGGAAACUCUAAAUGACAGUGAAUGUAACGGAGGAACUGUCCGUCCUGAUCUAGGAUGUGGAUACGGUGAUUGUGAUAGUCUGCU